CAUUGUCUGCAACAAUCAGAAUGAAUUAGCACUCUGUUGAUAAUACUAUUAUCAUGAACUUUUGGUCCAUAAGUGAAAUAUUAGCGUAAUAGCUUCUCAUACCGAGUAAGCUAAGAAAACAGAUUAGCACAUAAGUGAAGAAGAUUUAAGUCUAACGUGAUUCUCAAUGGAGAAUACUCCAAUGUGCUCCUAAUUACAGUAAGAAAGAUUCAUUAGGGACAGCGGAGCAGUAAUUCCUAAAGUGAUUCACCAAUCCUGAACAGUUCAAUGUCCUAAUAUAGGACCCUACUGUAAGAAUGAAUUAGGGAUGGUGGAGUGCAGUAAUUCUACUAAAGAAACUUGCAGAGUCCUGCCUCAUGGCUAAAAGGGGUGUAAUUGCAACAAAGAUAGGGAAGGUAAGAAUGAAUUAGGAAUGGUGGAGUGCAGUAAUUCUACUAAAGAAACUUGCAGAGUUACAGUAAGAAAGAUUCAUUAGAGACAGCGGAGCAGUAAUUCCUAAAGUGAUUCACCAAUCCUGAACAGUUCAAUGUCCUAAUAUAGGACCCUACUGUAAGAAUGAAUUAGGGAUGGUGGAGUGCAGUAAUUCUACUAAAGAAACUUGCAGAGUCCUGCCUCAUGGCUAAAAGGGGUGUAAUUGCAACAAAGAUAGGGAAGAUAAAGUAGGAGAAAGCAACAAUAUGAGGAACAUAAGACCCUCGUAUAUGGAAAAUGACAUAAGUUCAAUUGCUUUUCAACUCAAUAAUCUUGAUUUUUUAUUUAUCCACAAAAAUCAUUAUAUCGGCUUCAGAUUAGGUAACUUUUUGUUUUUAGUUUUAGUUUGCAUAAUUGGUAUGAGAUAAGCUUAAAUGGAGUACAUGGUUAAUGAGGAUUCAUUAGCCGACCCUGACUUGCUC
rnacentral:lncRNA from 1 species